UACGGAGGAUGCGAGCGUUAUCCGGAUUUAUUGGGUUUAAAGGGUGCGUAGGUGGUUAAUUAAGUCAGCGGUGAAAGUUUGUGGCUCAACCAUAAAAUUGCCGUUGAAACUGUCGGACUAGAGACGGCGAGAAGUACGCGGAAUGCGUGGUGUAGCGGUGAAAUGCAUAGAUAUCACGCAGAACUCCGAUUGCGAAGGCAGCUUACUAAACUAUAACUGACACUGAAGCACGAAAGCGUGGGGAUCAA
rnacentral:rRNA from 1 species